rnacentral:rRNA from 1 species
AUGCCAGCGUCGCCGUCCUCUCGGUGGUCCCCGGAGAUCACCAGCGUCUGCUCUAACUCCGAGUCCGAGCCCGAGGAGCCGUCGCCUGUGAUCGGCGGUGGCGGGUUCGUGGUGCAGCUGGUGUCGAGGGACGUCUCGGACGGGCUCCUCGGCAAGUUCGCGGACACCAGCGAGUUCGACUUCGACUACGGGAGGAGCGGGCUCUGGUCGCCGCUGGUGCUGCGGCCCGAGCUCCUGCUCCUCGCGCAGUCGUCGGCGUCCUCCUCGGCCCGGCGCCGGCAGCGGCGGUGGCGGUGGCGGAAGCGGAGGAAGGUGAGCACCGGUUGA